UACGUAGGGUGCAAGCGUUAAUCGGAAUUACUGGGCGUAAAGCGUGCGCAGGCGGUUUUGUAAGUCUGACGUGAAAGCCCCGGGCUUAACCUGGGAAUUGCGUUGGAGACUGCAAGGCUUGAAUCUGGCAGAGGGGGGUAGAAUUCCACGUGUAGCAGUGAAAUGCGUAGAGAUGUGGAGGAACACCGAUGGCGAAGGCAGCCCCCUGGGUCAAGAUUGACGCUCAUGCACGGAAGCGUGGGGAGCAAACAGG
rnacentral:rRNA from 1 species